rnacentral:rRNA from 1 species
CCUACGGGGAGCAGCAGUGGGGGAUAUUGCACAAUGGAGGGAACUCUGAUGCAGCGACGCCGCGUGAGGGAAUAAGGCCCUACGGGUCGUAAACCUCUUUUGCCGGGGAGCAAGGGCGGGGACGUGUCCCGGCCCGGAGAGUACCCGGAGAAAAAGCAUCGGCUAACUCCGUGCCAGCAGCCGCGGUAAUACGGAGGAUGCGAGCGUUAUCCGGAUUUAAUGGGUUUAAAGGGUGCGUAGGCGGGCUUUUAAGUCAGCGGUAAAAAUUCGGGGCUCAACCCCGUCCGGCCGUUGAAACUGGGGGCCUUGAGUGGGCGAGAAGAAGGCGGAAUGCGUGGUGUAGCGGUGAAAUGCAUAGAUAUCACGCAGAACCCCGAUUGCGAAGGCAGCCUUCCGGCCCCCUACUGACGCUGAGGCACGAAAGUGCGGGGAUCGAACAGGAUUAGAUACCCUUGUAGUC